GCUCUCGAGCCGUCGUCCAUUUCCUCGCCCAACGCCGGCGGCCGAACGAGUCCCGUGCCCCUGGCGCCGUCGGCUGGACGGAGGAGAUCGAGGCGACGCGAACGGCUCCACCGCGCGGCCGCCCGCCGCUUCCUCGCCGCAGGAUCGUCCAAGGGUUGGCGAGACCUACUACGACAGCCGGUGCUUUCAGAAGUUGUAAAAUCCUACUCGGCAGUUCCACCCAAAGGGAGCACUUCUCUUACGGAUGUAGUUUCUCCUGAUGCCUACGAGACGUAUCGACAUAUUUUCUCUUCUGAUUUAGAUGAAUAUUUAUUAGGCCUCUGUUUUAACACAGCUCCCCAACCUUGUUGAGAUGCAUCUGUUUCAUUAAUAAUGAAGUAGUUAUUGUCUAAAGGCAGUUCCAAGGGUUUUAACCCUUUGACCCUUUCCUUUAUUAUUCUUACUAACCUUAUGUCUUCAGAAUUAAAAUAUCUUUGGCCAUUUUUUCUUAAUUUUGCAUAUAAGGGUCC